GGGCUUAUGAUGAUAAUUUUUUAAUUAUCUUAGCGGAUUUCAGUGAGAUUUCAAUGUCAAUGAUCUGAUUGUUACACACACUGAAGCCC